rnacentral:rRNA from 1 species
AGUGAACGCUGGCGGUAGGCCUAACACAUGCAAGUCGAACGGCAGCACAGUAAGAGCUUGCUCUUACGGGUGGCGAGUGGCGGACGGGUGAGGAAUACAUCGGAAUCUACUUUUUCGUGGGGGAUAACGUAGGGAAACUUACGCUAAUACCGCAUACGACCUACGGGUGAAAGCAGGGGGUCUUCGGACCUUGCGCGAUUGAAUGAGCCGAUGUCGGAUUAGCUAGUUGGCGGGGUAAAGGCCCACCAAGGCGACGAUCCGUAGCUGGUCUGAGAGGAUGAUCAGCCACACUGGAACUGAGACACGGUCCAGACUCCUACGGGAGGCAGCAGUGGGGAAUAUUGGACAAUGGGCGCAAGCCUGAUCCAGCCAUACCGCGUGGGUGAAGAAGGCCUUCGGGUUGUAAAGCCCUUUUGUUGGGAAAGAAAAGCAGCAGGUUAAUACCCCGCUGUUCUGACGGUACCCAAAGAAUAAGCGCCGGCUAACUUCGUG